AACGAACGCUGGCGGCAGGCCUCAAACAUGCAAGUCUAGGGGGUGUAGCAAUACAUCACCGGCGGACGGGUGCGUAACACGUGGGAAUAUACCUUUUGGUUCGGAACAACGCAGGGAAACUUGCGCUAAUACCGAAUGUGCCCUUACGGGGAAAGAUUUAUCGCCAAAGGAUUAGCCCGCGUAGGAUUAGCUAGUUGGUGAGGUAAUGGCUCACCAAGGCUCCGGUCCUUAGCUGUUCUGAGAGGAAGAUCAGCCACACUGGGACUGAGACACGGCCCAGACUCCUACGGGAGGCAGCAGUUGGGAAUCUUGGACAAUGGGGGAAACCCUGAUCUAGCCAUGCCGCGUGAGUGAUGAAGGCCUUCGGGUUGUAAACUACUUUCGACGGGGACGAUAAUGACGGUACCCGUAGAAGAAGCUCCGGCUAACUUCGUGCCAGCAGCCGCGGUAAU
rnacentral:rRNA from 1 species